ensembl:lincRNA
AUGGAGUCUCACUUUGUCACCCAGGCUGGAGUGCAGUGGUGUGAUCUCGGCUCACUAUGGCCUCCCCAUCCUGGGUCCAAGCGAUUCUUGUGCCUCAACCUCCCGAGUAGCUGGAAUAGGCGCGUGCCACCACGACUGGCUAAUUUUGUAUCUUUAGUAGAGAUGGGGUUUUUCCACAUUGGUCAGGCUGGUCUCAAACUUCUGACCUCAGAUGAUCCGCCCACCUUGGCCACCCAAAGUGCUGGGAUUACAGGUGUGAACCACUGCACCCGGCCAGAAGUUUUUCUUACCCCUCCCUGGCGAUGCCAGAUUCACUGGGCUGGCAGAUUCUGCCCCCAAACCUGUCCAACCAGUUGUUUGAGAGGAGGGGGUACCUGGGAGGGGCAGCAGGAGAUGCCAGGAACAGCUUCCCCUAGCCCAGCACAGACUACAGACGGGGGAGCCUCUGGGGCUGCAGACACUGCAGACGGACGGACAGACAGAUGGACAACAGCGGGAGGCUUGGCCCGGCCAUAGGGCUCUCUGCGGGACAGUCCCAGCUGCUAGUGUCGCUGUUGCUGCUACUGACCCGUGUCCAGCCUGGGACACACGUGGGUGAGUAAGGGUGGGGAUUGGCACAGGGGUACCCGCUGCAUCUCAGGCUGCAGGACAGACCCAAGACCUCACUUUGUUUCCAAAUUCUCACACAUGGCUCCUGCCUCCUUCCUUUCCCUGAGGAGAGGUUUCCAGAUGUCCAGGACAAUGCAUGUCCCCAGGAAGCUCUGGCAAGCCCAGCCUGGGCAACAUAACAAGACCCCUUUUUUUAAAAAGAUUUUCUUUUUUUUAAGAUUUUUGUUUUUAAUUAGCUGGGUGUGGUGGAGUGCGCCUGUAAUCCCAGCUACUUGGGAGACUGAGGUGGGAGGAUGGCUUGAGCCCAUGCAGUGAACUAUGAAUGCGCCACUGCACUCCAGCCUGGGCCAAACAGCAAGACCCUGUCUCAAAAAAGAAAAGAAAAGAAAAGAAAAACUGGACAGGCUGAGAGAUACAGUCCUACAAUCUCUGCCCCCAACCCCAAUCUCUGACUGCUCCGCUUCUCUUUCUUUUUCUUUUUCCUUUUUUUCUUUCUUUCUUUUUUUUUUUUUUUUUUCGAGACAGAGUCUCCCACUGUCGCCCAGGCUGGAGUACAGUGGCGCGAUCUCGGCUCACCACAACCUCCGCCUCUCGGGUUCAAGCAAUUCUCCUGCCUCAGCCUCCUGAGUAGCUGAGAUUACAGCCAUGCGCCACUAUGUCUGGCUAAUUUUUGUAUUUUUAGUAGAAACAGGGUUUCACCAUAUUGGCCAGUCUGGUCUCGAACUCUUGACCUCGUGAUAUGCCCGCCUUAGUCUCCCAAAGUGCUGGGAUUACAGAUGUAAGCCACCGCGCCCGGCCUCCACUUCUCUUUCUAAACAUUAAGUGCCUCCUGCACUCAGAGUGCCCUGGGCUUCAGAGAUAGGACUGAGAGCUCUAAGAAAGGAAUCGUGACAAUCCUUCCCCAAGGAAGACUCUAGCCUGAACCUUUGGAGUUGAGUUGAAUUCAACGUAAAUGAAUCAAGUUGAACUGAACUGAACUGAACUGAACAGGGGCAGCUGCUGGAGACUCGCAUAGAAACCCACUCCAUCGUUCUGCUUCUCCUGGACCAGUAUUUGGGGUUGGGGAGGUCUGAGCUCUCCAACCAGCAAGGCUGGACACAGGCCAAGUUGCCAAUCCUGAGUCCCCUUUGGGGUACAGACCUGGGAAGCUUGUCCUCGUCCCCCACCCUUCCCCAGAGAGAUGAGGUGGGAGUCUGAGGGGGGACCUGGUCCUGAAGGCGAAGAUGCCUUGGGGCCAUGUUGGGAGGCGGCAGAGAACCAGGCAGGUUGAAGAGGACGUUCUAGACUCACUCGGAACCAAGCUCUGGCUUCAGAGCCCCCGGACCCUCUGGGCAGUCUGUGUCCAAGCCUGGGGUCUCAGCCAAGGGGACCUUCCUGUGCCAUCUCCCCGACCCCUGCCAAGCCACGCAUCCUCUCAUCAAGCCAAACAACCUAGACCAUGUGGGUGGAGCUGGAGGGACUUAAGUUGGAGGUCACUGGGCAUGUCAGGAACAGAGUUCAGCCUAGGGUCAGGCUGCCCCCAAAUUCCAGUUCCAUCCCAACAUGGCCCGGCCCGGGAGAGCUGUGCCUACCGCCAGGGUGGGACCUCCCAUGCCACCAUUGUCCUAGACCUCCCACAGUGCCCACCCCCAAUAGGCUCCUAAGAGAGGGGCCAGGGGCUGGACUCAGGCCUCCCACCCAUGCCCAUGGGGCAUAGAGUUGCCGGGAAAGCUUCCUGGUUCAUACCGGACCUGACCUCCCAGGAAGUGCCCGUACCUUGGGGCUCCCAUGUUAAGUCUGGAUCUGGGCGGGGGGAGACCAGAGCUGUUGGGGCUUGGUUGCCCCAUUUGGCCUCUCCUCUCUGCCCUCCCCUUCCAGCUGCCCGAGAGCACAUCAGCUAUGUGCCCCAGCUCUCAAACGACACCCUGGCGGGGAGGCUCACCCUGUCCACCUUCACGCUGGAGCAGCCUCUAGGCCAGUUCAGCAGCCACAACAUCUCUGACUUGGAUACCAUCUGGCUGGUGGUGGCCCUCAGCAACGGUGGGUGCUGCUGGGGCCAGGCCUUGGAUUCCCUAUGUGAAAUGGGCCUGCGGGCCUAAGGGUAGUAGCGGGUGUGUUGCAGGGAGAUGCAGGGAGCAGGUGCUGCAGGGGAUGGGGCCGGGGAGGGCUGUCAGGCUUGGUGAGGGUGGGAUCCUGCUGUGUGACCUGUCUGACCAUGGUGCCACCCUUAGCCACCCAGAGCUUCAUGGCCCCACGGACAAACCAGGACAUCCCUGCUCCUGCCAACUUCUCCCAGAGGGGCUACUAUCUCACACUGAGGGCCAACCGGGCGCUGUACCAGGCCAGAGGCCAGCUCCAUGUCCUCCGCAUCGGCAAUGAUACCCACUGCCAACCAACAAAAAUUGGCUGCAACCAUCCCCUACCAGGACCCGGCCCCUACAGGUGAGCGGCUCUGCCAGGCCCUGGCUCCUGCCCGCAUGCACCCAAGCCGGAGCCUGAGGCAGCUCCUACGAGGCUCACCACGGCCCCAGCAGGAUGCCUGGGUCCCCUGCUCCUGCUUGGCCAAAGGGAAGAGGAAGCAGCAGGCAGGGGCUGGGGAGGCCUUCAUGAAUUACGUGAAUUAUCCUUCUUUUCUUUUUUUUUUUCCUUUUCUUCUUCUUCU